rnacentral:rRNA from 1 species
GAAUUCCAAGCUUCGCGGCCUAUCAGCUUGUUGGCGGGGUAACGGCCCACCAAGGCAUCGACGGGUAGCUGGUCUGAGAGGACGAUCAGCCACACUGGGACUGAGACACGGCCCAGACUCCUACGGGAGGCAGCAGUGGGGAAUCUUGCGCAAUGGGCGAAAGCCUGACGCAGCAACGCCGCGUGCGGGAUGACGGCCCUCGGGUUGUAAACCGCUUUCAGUGGGGACGAACCAAGACGGUACCCACAGAAGAAGCCCCGGCCAACUACGUGCCAGCAGCCGCGGUAACACGUAGGGGGCGAGCGUUGUCCGGAUUUAUUGGGCGUAAAGAGCUCGUAGGCGGUUCGAUAAGUCGGGUGUGAAACCUCCAGGCUCAACCUGGAGACGCCACCCGAUACUGUCGUGACUAGAGUCCAGUAGGGGAGCGUGGAAUUCCUGGUGUAGCGGUGAAAUGCGCAGAUAUCAGGAGGAACACCAGUGGCGAAGGCGGCGCUCUGGGCUGGAACUGACGCUGAGGAGCGAAAGCGUGGGGAGCGAACAGGAUUAGAUACCCUGGUAGUCCACGCCGUAAACGUUGGGUACUAGGUGUGGGGUCUUAUCAACGGAUUCCGUGCCGCAGCUAACGCAUUAAGUACCCCGCCUGGGGAGUACGGAGAUCUGG